UUUAUGAUCCCCACCUGGGUUCUGGUGGACCUCUCGGCUUUCCUGGUCAGCAGCGACUUGCAAUAGGUGCAGACCCGUGGCUUUCGUAUUACCAGGUACUUCGCAGGCUCAGAGCCACCUUCCCAGGACCUCCAACCCUGUAGAAUGCAUUGCGUCCAACAAGCAGAUCCCUGCUUUGCCAAACCCAGGGUUCCUGGCUGUUCACUGCCAGGGAAGGCUUUGGCUUACGUCUUGCUUGGUGCCCUUUGGGGACCUGGCUUCACCUGUUUCCUUGGCAGGAGACGGCGGGUGAUUCCCAUGCUGUGUGGUGUCAUGAGGUUCUGAGGUCAUGGACCUAAAGCACCUAGUGUCUCUUGGUGACACAUCUGGACUGGCUGCCUGUGGACCAUGAGGCUCCAGAUGAGCCCCUCCACAUCCCUUCCCCUAACCCUGCCAGGUGGAUACAGGGAGGCAGGGUCACCGCUGCCCACUGAAGUGCUGUCUUUACCUUCCGGUCUCUGCAGACCUACGUCUACCAGUGGCCCUGGACGCUCCUGCUCCUGGCUGUCAGCG
rnacentral:lncRNA from 1 species